UACGUAGGAUCCGAGCGUUGUCCGGAUUUACUGGGUGUAAAGGGUGCGCAGGCGGACUGGUAAGUCAGUGGUGAAAUCUCGUCGCUUAACGACGAAACUGCCUUUGAUACUAUCAGUCUUGAAUCCGGUAGAGAUCUGUGGAAUUCCGAGUGUAGCAGUGAAAUGUGUAGAUAUUCGGAAGAACACCAGUGGCGAAAGCACUCUGCUGGGCCGACACUGACACUGAGAGACGAAAGCUAGGGGAGCGAAUGGG
rnacentral:rRNA from 1 species